rnacentral:rRNA from 1 species
CCUACGGGCGGCAGCAGUGGGGAAUAUUGCACAAUGGGGGAAACCCUGAUGCAGCGACGCCGCGUGUGUGAAGAAGUAAUUCGGUAUGUAAAGCUCUAUCAGCCGGGAAGAAAAUGACGGUAUCUGAGUAAGAAGCCCCGGCUAACUACGUGCCAGCAGCCGCGGUAAUACGUAGGGGGAAAGCGUUAUCCGGAUUUAAUGGGGGUAAAGGGAGUGUAGACGGCAGUGCGAGUCUGGAGUGAAAGGCGGGGGCUUAACCCCCGGACUGCUCUGGAAACUGUACGGCUGGAGUGCAGUAGAGGGGAGUAGAAUUCCUGGUGUAGCGGUGAAAUGCGUAGAGAUUAGGAGGAAUACCAGUGGCGAAGGCGGCUUACUGGACUAUGACUGACGUUGAGGUUCGAAAGCGUGGGGAGCAAACAGGAGUAGAUACCCCGGUAGUC